GUGCCAGCAGCCGCGGUAAUACGAGUGCCUCAAGCGUUAUCCGGAAUCAUUGGGCGUAAAGGGUGUGUAGGUGGUCAUAUUAGUCUCCUGUUAAAUUUCCCGGCUUAACCGGGAACAUGCAGGGGAAACGGUAUGACUAGAGGAUGCAAGGGGUCUGCGGAACUCAUAGUGUAGCGGUGAAAUGCGUUGAUAUUAUGGGGAACACCAAAAGCGAAGGCAGCAGACUAGGGCACUCCUGACAUUGAAACACGAAAGCGUGGGUAGCGAAUGGGAUUAGAUACCCCAGUAGUCC
rnacentral:rRNA from 1 species